CGACCAUCCAGAGCAGCCGAGAGACCUGGCUCAGUGACGCUGCAGCAACCCCCCGGUAAGGGUGCGGGUGCUUCCGCCAGGACCGAUGGAGG
rnacentral:ncRNA from 2 species